ensembl:snoRNA
CCUCCCGUCUGACUACUGAAGUUCUUCCUAAGAAUAGAUUUUAGUGGCUGUGCUUACGGGAUAAAGCAAAAUUGCUGUGAUCUGAAAAGGGAGGAUUAUUUGUGUCCUUCUAUGUGAAGCGGCUGAUGAGAAAAAC